UAAAAUAUUUUAAAAUUAGGUAGUAAAGAUUUUUCCGAAACCUAAAGAAUUUGGCGGUGUUUUAUAUAAUUGGAGGAACCUGUUAUUAAAUUGACAUUCCCCACAAAAUCUUACCUGAAUUUUGUUUGUAUAUCGUCGUUUACAGAAUAUAUUUAAAAAUUAUAAUCUUAAUAAAUUUUAUUUCAUAAAUCAGAUCAAGGUGCAGCAUAUUCAGGUUAUAAUGGGUUACAAUAUUUAAAAAUAUACGAAUAAAAAAUUGAAAUAAAAUUUGAAGGAGGAUUCAAAAGUAAAUAAAAAUAAAAAGAAGUUUUUUUGAAUAAUGAUUUAAAACAUGC
rnacentral:rRNA from 1 species